GCAAGAGCAGGCAUAGGAGCCUGGUUGGGAGAGGCACAGUGCAGCGCCUCUCCCAGCCACGGCUCCUGUGCCUGCCCUUGC
rnacentral:miRNA from 1 species